rnacentral:lncRNA from 1 species
GGGGGGAAGGAGUGUGCUCCAUGCAGUCAGGGAAGUGGCCUCCAUCACUUCUGCCUGCAUUCCACUGGCGAGGGCUCAGUGAAUGCUUCCUGUUGCAUUCGGAAAUGAAUUUUCCUGUGUGCUCAGGAGGAAAAGAAGAAUUUGGGUGAACAUGUAGCAGUCUCUCUGCUCCAUCAACAUAAAGAGAAGCUAAAUGUUACCACGUGAGGUAGGCAGGACUGACCUUGACCGGCAUCCCUAUCAGCAGCUCAGGGGGAUUAAGUGGCUUGCCAAUGUCACAAGAAAGAAUGCAGUCAGAACAAGUCCAAGGGCGGUCCUAGUAGCAUCCUCUGAUUCAGCUCAACAUCCUCUCCCACAGGAACACAAGAAACAAAUGCUGCCUCUGCCCAGCUGUUCCUCACAGGGCCGCGCUCUUUCCAGUGGCUCCUCAUCAAGUUACCAAGCCGCAAGCCACUGCCUCAGCCAGACACCUUGGAGGACUCUGAUGACCUGUGGCAGCUUUGAGCAGCCCAUCUCUGUCAGUUUCAGAUCAAUCGCCUUGGUAUCAUCCAUGUGUUCCUUGUCUACCCACAGUUUACUUCCCAAUAGUGUAGAGUUAAGAUGUGGGACCUUCAUGGAGAACUAAGAAUCCUGCACUUCUCUCCUCAAUUUCCUUACUGGACUGACAUGUCAGUCUUCACACCAGGCUUUGCAGAUAUAAACACAUGAACGUGCUGAACAAUGAGUCAAUUUCAGGAGGGAAUUACAGACAUUUAUUCAGCAUCUAAUUUGUGCCAGAGCCUAUGCUACCACCAUUAGUAAAAAGAUGAAAAAGACAAUCUUAUCCAAGAGGAGCUCAGAGUGGAGGUGGGGCUGGGACAGCAGAAGAGACAGAGAGCACCAUAUGCCCUAGUAGAACCGUCUUUUAUCAUUUGAAAUUCUUAUGGAAGUCCUCCGAGGGAACAGACUGCAUCACUAAGGAAAAUGCUGAAAGGGGAAAAUGAGGAUUUGAUGCAAAGUGAAGGAGGAAAACUCUGGGAGCAAAUGUCAGAGACUACAAAGGCAAACACCUCCAGGAGCCAGAUUCAGGUGCAAAUCAUUAGCUUUUCUAACCAACAUGCUGGUGAAACUACAUCCAAACCCACAAAUGUAAAAAAUGUGGACACAGAAGCAGGACUCAUCAGUGUAAGAGUUCUGGAAACCCAGGCAGAACAAGGACACUUCUGCAGUGCAGGCUGAGCCUUGAGCAAAAUUGCAUCCAACAUCCUAUUCCUAUGUUGCAGCAACAAGAACACCAGAGAAGAAAGAGCACGAAGUGGAGUCUCCAUUGCCAAGGCUGUAUGGACCCUCCGCUGAGCCCAUGUAAAACUCCUCCCUGAACGCAGAGUUCGGGACUGAUUUUCCAUCUGGCCUAACGAGAGUCUGAAGUUGCUGAAUCAAACGGAGCCAAUAGGUCUGACUUGAGCUGGCUGAAACAUGCACAGAACUGGGAAAGACAAAUAGUCUUCUUUCUGAAAGGCCUAUCAAGCCAAAGCCUGCUCCUCCCCCAUCCUGCCUGCUUCAGCUCAUAGUCCUGAAAGAGAGCACAUCCUGUUCUUCCAACUCCAGAGACGCUGCUGCCUGUGGAGCAAUAGCAGGCCUGGGGGUAUUUCUACCCAAGAAGCCGGCUGUGUGAAGAGGAAGGAUGGCCUCAUUAAGUGCAAGGACAUUGUCAUACAGACCUGGUUCCCAUGCUAGCAUCCUGAGUGCCAAGACCAGAGAAGCCUGGAGUGGUCUACUGACCUCUAGCAGCCCCAGAGAAAACAUGGAAGAGCUGUGCAAGUUUCCGCACAUUCGAGAAGAAUUCAGGAGUAGUGGAGGCCUGAUUGACCCUGGGAGUCUCCUGCAGAAGUGACAGAUGGACAUUGAGGCAGAAAACAGCAAGACCAACUGGGCUCAUGGACACUCCUGGAACGUCAGCAAGCAGAGGCAUCACGGAUACAAGCAGAUGCAUCCCAGGGGAGGCGGCCCUCGCCAGGAUCCCAUAUCGGUUCUGCACACCAUCGGGGAAGGAAGACAAUAGAGAAAAUCCAGAAUUCACUGGACUCUAAGAUGACAAGUCUGAGAGAACACAGAGGUUUUGUAGAAAGGAUUAUACUUGUGUGUUCUGACAUUAAGCGCAUUGUUUCAUUAUAGAAAAUAAUGUAUGUUUCCUGCACACCCAAGUUUGUGGCUUAAGAAAAUUCUAACCUACUUAUAAAU